CAUAAAUUGUUAAGCUAUGGAUAAAUAAAUUUGUUCCAAAUUCCAAAGCAUUUGAGAAUGGGCUUACUUCAAUUAAGUAGAUUACAUUGACCACAGAUAAAUACUUCUGCAACCAGAUGAUGAAGAUAUAUGUGCAUAUUGAAUGACCAAUGAUCCAAUGAUCCAUCCAAUGCUCCACUGCAGCCCCUUGAGUAGCCGUUCAUUUACGAGAGGUUCAUUGGUCAACGCAAACCGAUGACAAGACCAAAUAACCAAAACAAACCCGAGCAACCAAAACAUUUCCAAAGAAAUUCCAAUGAGAGACAAAACAGAAAAAAAUGAAAAAGAAAACUCGUAAGACCUCUUGAUUACAUGUUUGUUUAUAUGCAAACUGGAGUAAACUUUUAUUAAUUGAGCGAACAUUCGAGCGAGUCUGUAUGUUUAUAGAUACAUUAAAUAUAUAUGUAUGUGAGUAAAUAUGUGGCAAGAAGACAACAACGAUGACGACGCAGUGCAACAACAGCCACAGUCACAACCGCUAAACGUUGCCACCUCCGAUCGCCGCGUCGCCUUUUCAUACACAACGAAAUUCAGACUAUUCGAAUAAAGACAACGACGGCUAAAAACUUUCCCGUUAAGAGCUGCCAACCGUCUGCAGCCGAGCGACGCAAUGUACUGAAAGAAACGGUAAAAAUAUUCAAAAAACAGAAAGA